AAUCAAAAGGUAAGUGAUGUAUUUAUUUAUUUAUUUAAAUUUUUGAAUAUCUGUUCACUGUUAAUAUCCCCCAUACUGAGGUGAUCAGAAAAGAUGAGGUAAAAUUACUGUGAGGCCACUUUUUGCUGGCCUGAUGUUGUAAAAUUGCCAGCACAGCAAUGGGACAAAAACUGUCAGCCUAUUGCAGCUUAUGUGAAUAUGGAAUAAUAUAUCUCAUAAGUCUGGGCUUGAAACAAUAACAAUACCAACAAGCACACAAUUCAUUUAGGUACACACAGGUUUUACAAAAGGAAGAGGUCACUUUCACAUAGGGGAGCCUUGUGAUUUUUUCUUCUUUUCCUAGGCGUAAACUGAUUUAAAAGCACAUGCUGAAGGGUAUAAAACCUUGAAUAUGGUACGUGAAUUACCUACAAUAACUAAAAUCAUACAGCUGAGAAAACAGAAAAUAACACUGAAACUAAAAUUAACCUUUCUUCUUGGUGGGAUGGAACCUAGAAGCUUUCUUUACACAGAAAAAAAUAAAUUUAAUUUCAAGAAAGAAAAUUAAUACUUUAAGUCACCGUCCUGAAAACUUUCCAACAGUGUUUAAACAAAUAACUCCUCUUUUUAAUUGUCUCAGAUACAAGGGCUCUAUUUCAUUCUUAUCAUGGAAUUACAGGCUCAGUUAUUUCAGUAUUUGAUUGAGUGUUUCCCAACUGCAUUUGGGAAGAGAUAGAAAUAUGCAUAGGAGGUGAUAAAGUAUGGUGGAUAAGGGAAAGAACACUUCUUUCCUAAAAGUACAUGAAGAGUCUGUCUGGCUUAAAUAAACAAAACAGCAGAAGCAAAUUAACAAAAUUGAAAACAAAACAGAACAACAAACAGAUCUUCCAUAGCUAUUUCAGCUAUUUAGCAUAAUGGGACAUAAUGGGAUUUCUUCUUACUAUUUCAGCAUUUUUUGAUCGCUGCAGUCAGCCCCAUGGAAAUUCCUUCUAACCUGAAAGGAUACUCAAGACAAUUGAGUGUUCAAGCAAAAGUUUAAUAUUAGAAGCCACAUCCCUGAUGAGUGGAAAAGGAUGCCCGGCAGCUCCACAUUGUGUAUAGCAAAAGAGAAGACAUCUGGAAAGAAAAGCAAAUGGUAAUAAUACUCCUGUGGCUUUGGACUGGAAAUAAAAAAGGGCUUUGGAAGUAUCUGGAAGCAGUAUCUGAGAAGAGAAAACAUUUCACUAAAGGGCAGCAUUCAGCAUGAACUGUAACUUCAGGAUGUCUUGCCUUUCUGGUGUCUCUAGAGGUAACAUUUGAGUAUUAAAAUUUAAGUACAAUGAAUGUAAGUUAUACUAACUUGAACUAUUGCUUAUAUGUAGGGAAGAGAUACUAAAUAAAAGAGGAGUUCAUGAAGCACGGGAGAAAAGACAGAUGAUAAAGAGGAUAUUUUGCUUUUCUUUGAGAUUCUGGGACUGACUUUGAGAAGAAUAUAGCAUUUGCAAGCUUUUUAUUGUUGCUGUUUGGUUGGUUUUGCUAUACAAUCUCAGUGUAAAUGACUUUUUAAGGUAUUGAAUAAAAAAAUAUCCAAAGAUGACUGUUAUUAUUGCAGUUACAUUCAUUUUAUGAUUUUUCUUUUUUAUGUGGCAAAUAAGUUUGACAGUUAUGUUUGAUUUUCUUCCUGUUUUAACAAUGAAACUGGUGUUUAUACAUACUGAUUCACCGUGGAUUCAUUAUGAAGCACUUGUAAAAAAAUAAAAAGAAUUUAAUGGAAAGCUG